rnacentral:tRNA from 1 species
GCCUCUGUAACUCAGUUGGUUAGAGCGCCGCACCGGAAUCGCAGGGCCGUAGGUUCAAUUCCUACCAGAGGAC